GUUUUGCUUUCAUUUUCAGUUUAAGGUGUUCAGUUGUUUCAGGAUUAUGAGCAACGAAUGUGAUGAACGUCACGUUGAUUCAUCAAAUACUUUCAUUUUAUGACGAUCUUUUUGAUUUUUAAAGAUUAUCAGAGCCAAUGACAAACUACUAAAACCCUGUGCUUCAUCUGCGUCGAUGUUCCGAAACCAGCAAGGUUUCCAGAGGGCGUCCUUGUUCUGGAUUUUAUUUGUCAGCCAAUCCCAAAUCUCCGUGUAAAAUGACGUGCAGAAGAACAUCUGUCAGAGCUGCAGCUGUGCUGAUGAUACUUGUGAUGAAUGUCUUCAGAGGACACUCCCUCACAUGUCGUCGAUUAGAGUAUCAGAUUGGGACUGAAUGCUGUCCCAUGUGUCCCCCUGGAAAUCGAGUUAAAACUCACUGCACUGAGGCUUCAACAACUUCCUGUCAGAGUUGCACUGAGGGAACCUUCAUGAAUCAUCCUACUGGCCAUGUGAAAUGUUUUACAUGUACAAGCUGUGAUGCAGCUUCUGGUUUGAAAUUAAAAACUUCAUGUACAGCAACAUCAGAUGCUGUGUGUGAGCCACUGGAGGGAUUCUACUGCAUGGACUCUGCAGAGGAGGGCUGUAAGGCAGCAGAGAAACACUCAAGCUGUCAGCCAGGACAGUACAUCAGUCAGAGAGGAACAGCAUUAAGAGACACUGAGUGCUCUGACUGCAGUGAGGGAACAUAUUCUGAUGGAACAUUUCCAUCCUGUCAGCCACACACACAAUGUGAAUCAGAGCAUCGUCAGCUGAUAAAAGCAGGGACUGUUUCAACUGAUGCUGAAUGUGGAGAGCAAAGUCCAGACAACACAGGACUUGUGGUCGUCGUUGGUGUGGUUGUAGGUCUUAUAGCAGCUGCAGCAGCUACAGCAGUUGCAUGGUGGUGUAUCAGAAAGAGGAAAAGCAGUGAAGACAAAAUAAAAGCAAGAACACAGAGAAGUGAGUCUCACACUCUGCUGUUGUUACUAACAAGUCUGUUUCACUGCAUGUACAGAAGGAGCUACAAGUGAUUUUUCUAAUUAAUAAGAUGAUGUCACUCAUUAUGAAUUUUUCUCAAAGAAAGAACACGUGCAGCUGAAUCAGUGCUGAUGGUUCGACAGCCAUAGUGACAGCAGCAGGUGGAAGCUCCUAGAGUGGAUCCACCUGUGUAGCCAGGCGAUGCUGCUGAUUGGCCAGCUUUAAGCUUCAAUGGACCAAUCAUCAUUCGGGGGCCUCUUUAUAUAAACGGCUUCACAGCUGUAUGCUCUUCCUGGACCUUUGUUUUUCAGGCUGUUUGGUUUGUUUUUUUACUUGGCAAAUGAAGGUAAAGCUGUUUAGUGGGAGAUAGGGUUUGCUAAGUAAUAUACAUUUUUACAGCACAGAGAAGUUAUUUGUCUACAUACACCAGGUUUACUGGAUGUUGCCACUGACUGUAUUUAAUUAAUUAAGUCUCUUCUUAGAUAAGAGAGGUAGGAGUUUUUUUUGUUCUUUUCUUGCAUUCUGUCAAACUGUGGUGAGGUCUUGUUUUGGGUUUAUGUCUUGUCAUUUCCUGUUUUAUUUUGAAAAGUAAGUCUCAUCUUGUUUCAGGUCACUUGCCCUUCCUCAUGUGUCUCCUGUCUGAUUGUCUCCCCCGAUCGUGUCCACCUGUUCACCUUUACCUCCAUGUGUUCUAAUGGUCUGUGUCCUCCUUGUCUUGUGUGUGUUUUGUCUUUGCCACAGCCUUGAUUUUUGCCUUGAGCUUCUUUCUUCUUUGCCUCUGCAUCAGAGUGAUUUUGUGUUGUAAGUUUCUUAGUUUAGGAUUUAUUCAUUUGAUUUCUUUUUUAUCCGUAGGAGUGAUUAUUAGUUCCUUCUUAGAUUCAUUUAGUUGAUGGUUCCUCCUCUCCUCUUUUUUUUUUUUUGUUUGUUUUUUGUUCCUUGUAGAUUUUGCCUUCCUUUCAGUUAUUUGCCUCCUGUUGGAGUGGGGAUCCUUAGUUCUAGAGAUUAUUGUGUUUUCAUUUGUAACUUUUCAUAGCUCUUUUGUUUUCUCUCUUCUGAGAUUAAUCAUUUUCAUAGCUGUGCGCCUUCAAGUUGAAGGUGUGCUUCAGGUAAUUUCAUAGCCUAUUGUUUGUUGACACACUGUAUGAGGUAUAACCCAGUUGAUUUUGAAUGAUAAAGUCAGCUCCAUUACCUACCUUCUCUGUGUUUGAGUCCACAAUCAGCAGUGAGCAGUCAGGCUUAGUUUUAUUGUACUGUUUUUGAUUAUUUUGGCACAACCACACAGUUCUCUUUUCUCCUCCACAUUCUUUUUGGUUUCAAUUCCUGUUGAAUUUAGUUUGCUUUAAAAAUAAAACUUAUUUUCUCCA